rnacentral:lncRNA from 10 species
CUCACGUGACUUUCUCGAGCCAGUGAGGGGUAUCUGUCUGACUUCUCGGCGAUUUUUACGAUCUAACUUCGAGAUAAAACCCCUAUCCAUUUGACAUCUAAAUGUCAUAGCGACUUUUGGGAUAGUUUGCUAUCGACAAAGGGAGACAAAGUCAAGGGGUGAAGGGAAAGGAGGGCCAAGUAGAGCCUCCACGACCCUCGGCUUCCUCCUCACCAGCUCCCCCUCCCUCCAAGUCCAGUAAGAAGUUGGGCCAAGCUGGAAGGGAUUGACCGGGUUGCUUGUCUGGAGAUGGAGCCACUACAGGCGGGCCUGGGCGCCUGGAGUCGGGCAUGAAAGAAAAUAGCGCCUCAUCGCUCUUAUCUAAGCCCAGAGGUAGACUUCGCUUGAAAAGAUCGAGAAUGGAGGAGGGGAUCGGCACUCACUUGCAGACAUCAACAGUUUCCAGAAAAUUCGGUUCAAUUCCUUCACCACGGACCCACCAACCAAGGAGCUGGCAAAACCCACUAACCAACCAGGAGAACACAGACCCGGUUUGUCUUUUGACAACCGAGUGGAACUGACGGGGCCGGCGCCUGCCCUGCGGGUCCCCUCCCUUGGCUGAGAAGAAAACCAAAUAAACCUUGAACAGCCUUGGCUUCGGAUGUCUCAAGCGGCCUCAUCCUCUCCCGCGCCUUGCCGUUUCCUCUCCCUCGCCGGCCUCGGCGGAGAUUCCAGGCCCUAUAGAAACCAGGACGUCCCUUAGCGCCACCGCCUCACAUGCCAGUGCUGCCGGGAACCCAGCGAUAUCCGCACCAGCGGAGAAGGUUCCAGGCUGCCGGCGGCGGCGCAGAGAGCGGGAAGAGAGGCUCGGAGGAAGCCCCGGGCGUGGCGUGGUCAGGCUCCGAGAGCGGCCGGGAUGCGGCCACACCGGCCUGGUAAACUCGCACCUCUUAGGAUCUUGCUCCCGGACUCAUUCCCUUCCCCACCCCCUAUUUUAAAGUUUUAUUUGGGUCGUCUGUAUCAAUUUAGAACGAGAUAAAUUAAGACAAAGAAAGUAAAAUAAAUCGAAAUAAAAUAUAGGAAUAGCUCUUGGCGAAAAUGUUUGCCGUGCGAGCAGGAAGCCGUGAGCGCCCUAGUUGGAGGCUGCUCUGCGCCGACUAAGAGGCCUCUACUCCCAGGCCUGGCCUCUACGCAACGCCACCCAAGAAGCCAGAGUGAAUUUGGGUGUUCAUUUUCCCUUUCCUUCCGCUCUUCCUUCAUGUGGGGCCUAGCAGCUUGGAUUUCAGCUCCGUCUUUGUGCCUGGGCUGCAGCCCAGAUCCAGAUCCCGCAGCUUGGUUUCCAGGCCUGAAUGAGGACGCGGGUUUGUGAAACUGUGAGGUUUUUGUUUUGUUGUUUUGUGAGCUUGUGUGACUAAGCAUGUGGGCUUCUGAGUGCGUUUACUUGGGGGCAAAUGUGAAUCUGUGUUUAUAAGCCAAUGUGUGAAUGUACGUUGGUAUCAAUGUGUCUGUGAGUGUGAAUGUGUGUUUACUUGUGAGCGUGUGUGAACAUGAAUGCCUA